CCAAACAAAAGUGAUAUACUAUGGAAAAGUCUUAUUAUACGAACAGAAACUUAACCCCAAUAUAUCAAAAUUUAACCCAUGUAUUCGAGAACAAGAUUCAUACCAUAAGCAGCAGUAACAAAGUUCCAAAUAGCCAAACAAAGGCUUGAUAAUACCGAUGGAGAUCAGCAGUAGUGGUGAAUGAAGCAGCAGCACUCAACAUCGAUUUUCAGUCAGAAAUCAACUUGGUUUCGAAAUUUCUACCUUCUUUUGGUUUUCAGAUCUCUAUUUGAAAAUCUCUAGCCCUUUUUUUUAUCUUCUAUUAUAUUAUGUGUGAGUUAUAUAGAAGAGUGAGUGUGAGAAUAGAGAAGAAAAAGGCAAAAUAAAUGGAGAACGAGAGAAAUCCCCUACGUUGUUCUC
rnacentral:lncRNA from 1 species